rnacentral:rRNA from 1 species
GAUGAACGCUGGCGGCGUGCCUAAUACAUGCAAGUCGAGCGAACAGAUGAGGAGCUUGCUCCUCUGACGUUAGCGGCGGACGGGUGAGUAACACGUGGAUAACCUACCUAUAAGACUGGGAUAACUUCGGGAAACCGGAGCUAAUACCGGAUAAUAUAUUGAACCGCAUGGUUCAAUAGUGAAAGACGGUUUUGCUGUCACUUAUAGAUGGAUCCGCGCCGCAUUAGCUAGUUGGUAAGGUAACGGCUUACCAAGGCAACGAUGCGUAGCCGACCUGAGAGGCGGAUCGGCCACACUGGAACUGAGACACGGUCCAGACUCCGACGGGGGGCAGCAGUAGGGAACCUUCCGCAAUGGGCGAAAGCUUGACGGAGCAACGCGGCGUGAGUGAUGAAGGUCUUCGGAUCGUAAAACUCUGUUAUUAGGGAAGAACAAAUGUGUAAGUAACUAUGCACGUCUUGACGGUACCUAAUCAGAAAGCAACGGCUAACUACGUG